rnacentral:rRNA from 1 species
GACAACUCCCAAACCCCACUGUGAACCGUACCCCCGAAACCGUUGCCUCGGCGGGGCAGGGCCCCCGCGGCCCGCCCGCCGCAGGACCGCAGACCCCCCCGAACCCGGGAGCCGCCGGCCUGCGCCGGCCCUCCCCGCGUCUGAAACGAAGAAAACACAAUGAGUCAAAACUUUCAACAACGGAUCUCUUGGCUCUGGCAUCGAUGAAGAACGCAGCGAAAUGCGAUAAGUAAUGUGAAUUGCAGAAUUCAGUGAAUCAUCGAAUCUUUGAACGCACAUUGCGCCCGCCAGCACUCUGGCGGGCAUGCCCGUCCGAGCGUCAUCUCCAUCCUCGGGGGCCCCAGGGCGCGAGCCCCGCGGGCCCCCGGCGUUGGGGGACGGCCGCGCGCCGCCCCCGAAAUGCAGUGGCGGCCACGCCCGCGGCGACCCCUGCGUAGUAGCGACUGCUCGCACCGGGAGCCCGGCGUCGGCCACCGCCGUCAAAACGAACCCAUCAUCACGUGACCUCGG